rnacentral:rRNA from 1 species
AGAGCGAACGCUGGCGGCGUGCUUAACACAUGCAAGCCGAGUGCGCAGUUCUCUGUAGCAAUACAGAAAACCGGCGCACGGCGCACGGGUGAGUAACACGUGGGCAACCUGCCCUCCAAUGGGGGAUACCCCCGCGAAAGCGGGACUAAUACCGCAUGACAUUCCGGUGGCUUCGGCCGCUGGAUUCAAAGGUCGAAAGGCCGUUGGAGGAGGGGCCCGCGCCCGAUUAGCUUGUUGGCGAGGUAACGGCUCACCAAGGCUUUGAUCGGUAGC